rnacentral:rRNA from 1 species
CCUACGGGAGGCAGCAGUGAGGAAUAUUGGUCAAUGGGCGCGAGCCUGCACCAGCCAAGUAGCGUGAAGGAUGACUGCCCUACGGGUUGUAAACUUCUUUUAUAAAGGAAUAAAGUGAGGCACGUGUGCCUUUUGUAUGUACUUUAUGAAUAAGGAUCGGCUAACUCCGUGCCAGCAGCCGCGGUAAUACGGAGGAUCCGAGCGUUAUCCGGAUUUAUUGGGUUUAAAGGGAGCGUAGGCGGGUUGUUAAGUCAGUUGUGAAAGUUUGCGGCUCAACCGUAAAAUUGCAGUUGAUACUGGCAUCCUUGAGUACAGUAGAGGUAGGCGGAAUUCGUGGUGUAGCGGUGAAAUGCUUAGAUAUCACGAAGAACUCCGAUUGCGAAGGCAGCCUGCUGGACUGUAACUGACGCUGAUGCUCGAAAGUGUGGGUAUCAAACAGGAUUAGAUACCCUAGUAGUC